CAAUAGAAUUGUUUCUCAAGGGUGGUCGGCACAUCCCGCUGAAAAGGGGGUGAUGCUGUUUGACAACGUUCGAAGGAAUUAUGAUGAUGAUUGCGUUUUCGGGUCUCGUCGUUUCGAUUUUGUCAUUUAACAAAAAAGAAUAAUCCACCCUUGAGUUUGGCGGCUCAGGUGGAUUAUUCGUUGUCUGCUUUAUGCUGUCACCCUUAGAGGGCAUUCUAUUGCCGGCGUUUGGUGUGUUGAGCACCAAGC
rnacentral:sRNA from 1 species